rnacentral:rRNA from 1 species
GGACCCGCACAAGCAGCGGAGCAUGUGGUUUAAUUCGAAGCAACGCGAAGAACCUUACCAAGGCUUGACAUCCCUUGACAGCCAUGGAAACAUGGUCUCCCUUCGGGGCAAGGAGACAGGUGGUGCAUGGUUGUCGUCAGCUCGUGUCGUGAGAUGUUGGGUUAAGUCCCGCAACGAGCGCAACCCUUGUCAUUAGUUGCCAGCGCGUAAUGGCGGGAACUCUAAUGAGACUGCCGGGGAUAACUCGGAGGAAGGUGGGGACGACGUCAAAUCAUCAUGCCCCUUAUGUCUUGGGCUACACACGUGCUACAAUGGCCGGUACAAAGAGCUGCAAUACCGUAAGGUGGAGCGAAUCUCAUAAAGCCGGUCUCAGUUCGGAUCGUGGGCUGCAACCCGCCCACGUGAAGCCGGAGUUGCUAGUAAUCGCGAAUCAGCAUGUCGCGGUGAAUGCGUUCCCGGGUCUUGUACACACCGCCCGUCACACCAUGGGAGUUGGGAGCGCCCGAAGCCAGUGAGCUAACCGCAAGGAGGCAGCUGUCGAAGGCGAGACCAAUGACUGGGGUGAAGUCGUAACAAGGUAGCCGUAUCGGAAGGUGCGGCU